rnacentral:rRNA from 1 species
ACAAGCGGUGGAGCAUGUGGUUUAAUUCGAGCAACGCGAAGAACCUUACCAGGUCUUGACAUCCCUCGACAACCGAGAGAUCGGCGUUCCCCUUCGGGGGACGAGGGUGACAGGUGGUGCAUGGUUGUCGUCAGCUCGUGUCGUGAGAUGUUGGGUUAAGUCCCGCAACGAGCGCAACCCUCGACCUUAGUUGCCAGCAUUCAGUUGGGCACUCUAAGGUGACUGCCGGCUAAAAGUCGGAGGAAGGUGGGGAUGACGUCAAAUCAUCAUGCCCCUUAUGACCUGGGCUACACACGUGCUACAAUGGGCGGUACAAAGGGUCGCGAACCCGCGAGGGGGAGCCAAUCCCAAAAAGCCGCUCUCAGUUCGGAUUGCAGGCUGCAACUCGACUGCGUGAAGUCGGAAUCGCUAGUAAUCGUGGAUCAGCCAAGCCGCGGUGAAUACGUUCCCGGGCCUU